AUCAUGGCUCAGGAUGAACGCUAGCGGCAGGCUUAAUACAUGCAAGUCGUGGGGCAGCAGGUUUGUAGCAAUACAGAUGCUGGCGACCGGCAAACGGGUGCGGAACACGUACAGAACCUUCCUUUGAGCGGGGAAUAGCCCAGAGAAAUUUGGAUUAAUACCCCAUAGUAUAAUGAAGUGGCAUCACUUUAUUAUUAAAGAUUUAUCACUCGAAGAUGGCUGUGCGGCUGAUUAGGUAGUUGGCGGGGUAAAGGCCCACCAAGCCUGCGAUCAGUAACUGGUGUGAGAGCACGACCAGUCACACGGGCACUGCGACACGGGCCCGACUCCUACGGGAGGCAGCAGUAAGGAAUAUUGGUCAAUGGGGGCAACUCUGAACCAGCCAUGCCGCGUGGAGGAUGAAGGUCCUCUGGAUUGUAAACUUCUUUUAUAUGGGACGAAAAAGGCUUUUCUAAGUCGUCUGACGGUACCAUAUGAAUAAGCACCGGCUAACUCCGUG
rnacentral:rRNA from 1 species